AGAACAUAAGGCUUUAAAAAGACCGAAUUAAAAAAACGGAACCCAUGCCUAACUUUGGUGGGCCCCGCUUGAGUCUUUAGUCUUUCAAGUCAAUUCCGUCGGUGUCUUGAUGCAAGUUACGCAAAAGAAAUUUUCUGGUGCACCGGAUCUCGGAGAAUGAGCAAUUUGAGACUCUGAGACUGCGGUAGGAGCCACGAAAAGGAGGGGGCAGACUGCCGAUGGGGCCCGGUGACGUGGCA
rnacentral:lncRNA from 1 species